GACGAACGCUGGCGGCGUGCCUAAUACAUGCAAGUCGAGCGGACUUUCCGGAGUGCUUGCACUUCGGAAGGUUAGCGGCGGACGGGUGAGUCACACGUAGGCAACCUGCCCAUAAGACCUGGCUAACAUUCGGAAACGAUUGCUAAUACCGGAUACACGGACUUCUCGCAUGAGGGGAUCGGGUAAGGCCGAGCAAUCUGCCGCUUAUGGAUGGGCCUGCGGUGCAUUAGCUAGUUGGUUGGGUAAACGCCUACCCAGGGGGCGAUUCGUAGCCGACCUGGGUGGGGGAUAGGCCGCACUGGGACGGGACCAGGCCCCAGGCGCCUAAGGGAGGCAGCAGGAGGGAAUCUUCCGCAAUGGACGCAAGUCUGGCGGAGCAAGGCCGCGUGAGUGGGGAAGGCCUUCGGGUCGUAAAGCUGUGUUGCGGGGGAAGAACGGGCAGGGGAGUAACUGCCCUUGCCAUGACGGUACCUGAGAAGAAAGCCCCGGCUAACUACGUG
rnacentral:rRNA from 1 species